rnacentral:rRNA from 1 species
GGGUUGUGAGGUUAAGCGACUAAGCGUACACGGUGGAUGCCCUGGCAGUCAGAGGCGAUGAAGGACGUGCUAAUCUGCGAUAAGCGUCGGUAAGGUGAUAUGAACCGUUAUAACCGGCGAUUUCCGAAUGGGGAAACCCAGUGUGUUUCGACACACUAUCAUUAACUGAAUCCAUAGGUUAAUGAGGCGAACCGGGGGAACUGAAACAUCUAAGUACCCCGAGGAAAAGAAAUCAACCGAGAUUCCCCCAGUAGCGGCGAGCGAACGGGGAGCAGCCCAGAGCCUGAAUCAGUGUGUGUGUUAGUGGAAGCGUCUGGAAAGGCGCGCGAUACAGGGUGACAGCCCCGUACACAAAAAUGCACAUACUGUGAGCUCGAUGAGUAGGGCGGGACACGUGGUAUCCUGUCUGAAUAUGGGGGACCAUCCUCCAAGGCUAAAUACUCCUGACUGACCGAUAGUGAACCAGUACCGUGAGGGAAAGGCGAAAAGAACCCCGGCGAGGGGAGUGAAAAAGAACCUGAAACCGUGUACGUACAAGCAGUGGGAGCCUCUUUUAUGGGGUGACUGCGUACCUUUUGUAUAAUGGGUCAGCGACUUAUAUUCUGUAGCAAGGUUAACCGAAUAGGGGAGCCGAAGGGAAACCGAGUCUUAACCGGGCGUUAAGUUGCAGGGUAUAGACCCGAAACCCGGUGAUCUAGCCAUGGGCAGGUUGAAGGUUGGGUAACACUAACUGGAGGACCGAACCGACUAAUGUUGAAAAAUUAGCGGAUGACUUGUGGCUGGGGGUGAAAGGCCAAUCAAACCGGGAGAUAGCUGGUUCUCCCCGAAAGCUAUUUAGGUAGCGCCUCGUGAAUUCAUCUCCGGGGGUAGAGCACUGUUUCGGCAAGGGGGUCAUCCCGACUUACCAACCCGAUGCAAACUGCGAAUACCGGAGAAUGUUAUCACGGGAGACACACGGCGGGUGCUAACGUCCGUCGUGAAGAGGGAAACAACCCAGACCGCCAGCUAAGGUCCCAAAGUCAUGGUUAAGUGGGAAACGAUGUGGGAAGGCCCAGACAGCCAGGAUGUUGGCUUAGAAGCAGCCAUCAUUUAAAGAAAGCGUAAUAGCUCACUGGUCGAGUCGGCCUGCGCGGAAGAUGUAACGGGGCUAAACCAUGCACCGAAGCUGCGGCAGCGACACUGUGUGUUGUUGGGUAGGGGAGCGUUCUGUAAGCCUGUGAAGGUGUACUGUAAGGUAUGCUGGAGGUAUCAGAAGUGCGAAUGCUGACAUAAGUAACGAUAAAGCGGGUGAAAAGCCCGCUCGCCGGAAGACCAAGGGUUCCUGUCCAACGUUAAUCGGGGCAGGGUGAGUCGACCCCUAAGGCGAGGCCGAAAGGCGUAGUCGAUGGGAAACAGGUUAAUAUUCCUGUACUUGGUGUUACUGCGAAGGGGGGACGGAGAAGGCUAUGUUGGCCGGGCGACGGUUGUCCCGGUUUAAGCGUGUAGGCUGGUUUUCCAGGCAAAUCCGGAAAAUCAAGGCUGAGGCGUGAUGACGAGGCACUACGGUGCUGAAGCAACAAAUGCCCUGCUUCCAGGAAAAGCCUCUAAGCAUCAGGUAACAUCAAAUCGUACCCCAAACCGACACAGGUGGUCAGGUAGAGAAUACCAAGGCGCUUGAGAGAACUCGGGUGAAGGAACUAGGCAAAAUGGUGCCGUAACUUCGGGAGAAGGCACGCUGAUAUGUAGGUGAAGUCCCUCGCGGAUGGAGCUGAAAUCAGUCGAAGAUACCAGCUGGCUGCAACUGUUUAUUAAAAACACAGCACUGUGCAAACACGAAAGUGGACGUAUACGGUGUGACGCCUGCCCGGUGCCGGAAGGUUAAUUGAUGGGGUCAGCGCAAGCGAAGCUCUUGAUCGAAGCCCCGGUAAACGGCGGCCGUAACUAUAACGGUCCUAAGGUAGCGAAAUUCCUUGUCGGGUAAGUUCCGACCUGCACGAAUGGCGUAAUGAUGGCCAGGCUGUCUCCACCCGAGACUCAGUGAAAUUGAACUCGCUGUGAAGAUGCAGUGUACCCGCGGCAAGACGGAAAGACCCCGUGAACCUUUACUAUAGCUUGACACUGAACAUUGAGCCUUGAUGUGUAGGAUAGGUGGGAGGCUUUGAAGUGUGGACGCCAGUCUGCAUGGAGCCGACCUUGAAAUACCACCCUUUAAUGUUUGAUGUUCUAACGUGGACCCGUGAUCCGGGUUGCGGACAGUGUCUGGUGGGUAGUUUGACUGGGGCGGUCUCCUCCUAAAGAGUAACGGAGGAGCACGAAGGUUGGCUAAUCCUGGUCGGACAUCAGGAGGUUAGUGCAAUGGCAUAAGCCAGCUUGACUGCGAGCGUGACGGCGCGAGCAGGUGCGAAAGCAGGUCAUAGUGAUCCGGUGGUUCUGAAUGGAAGGGCCAUCGCUCAACGGAUAAAAGGUACUCCGGGGAUAACAGGCUGAUACCGCCCAAGAGUUCAUAUCGACGGCGGUGUUUGGCACCUCGAUGUCGGCUCAUCACAUCCUGGGGCUGAAGUAGGUCCCAAGGGUAUGGCUGUUCGCCAUUUAAAGUGGUACGCGAGCUGGGUUUAGAACGUCGUGAGACAGUUCGGUCCCUAUCUGCCGUGGGCGCUGGAGAACUGAGGGGGGCUGCUCCUAGUACGAGAGGACCGGAGUGGACGCAUCACUGGUGUUCGGGUUGUCAUGCCAAUGGCACUGCCCGGUAGCUAAAUGCGGAAGAGAUAAGUGCUGAAAGCAUCUAAGCACGAAACUUGCCCCGAGAUGAGUUCUCCCUGACCCUUUAAGGGUCCUGAAGGAACGUUGAAGACGACGACGUUGAUAGGCCGGGUGUGUAAGCGCAGCGAUGCGUUGAGCUAACCGGUACUAAUGAACCGUGAGGCUUAACCUUACAACGCCGAAGGUGUUU